AAAAAGACAAACCCUGAGUUUCCGUGUCCAACUUUGACUGUCCGUCUUAUAUGAAAUUUUUUUAUAAUUCGUAUUUUUAUUGUUGUUAGAUGAUAAAACAUAAUUAAUACUUUGUGCGUGACUUGUCUUUUUAAUUUUUUUCAUAAUUUUUUCAAAUAAGACGGACGGUCAAACGUUGGGCACGAAAACCAGGGUUUGUCUUUUU
rnacentral:pre_miRNA from 1 species